GGAGUUGGUAGCUCGGUGGUAGAGUGCAUUUUUUGUACAUAUGAUGUCCUGGGCUCAAUCCCCAGCUUCUCUCCA